rnacentral:rRNA from 1 species
GGCAGCAGCCGCGGUAACACCGGCGGCCCGAGUGGUGAUCGUGAUUAUUGGGUCUAAAGGGUCCGUAGCCGGUUUGGUCAGUCCUCCGGGAAAUCUGAUAGCUCAACUAUUAGGCUUUCGGGGGAUACUGCCAGACUUGGAACCGGGAGAGGUAAGAGGUACUACAGGGGUAGGAGUGAAAUCUUGUAAUCCCUGUGGGACCACCUGUGGCGAAGGCGUCUUACCAGAACGGGUUCGACGGUGAGGGACGAAAGCUGGGGGCACGAACCGGAUUAGAUACCCGGGUAGUCCCAGCCGUAAACGAUGCUCGCUAGGUGUCAGGCAUGGCGCGACCGUGUCUGGUGCCGCAGGGAAGCCGUGAAGCGAGCCACCUGGGAAGUACGGCCGCAAGGCUGAAACUUAAAGGAAUUGGCGGGGGAGCACAACAACGGGGUUGGAGCCUGCGGUUUAAUUGGACUCAACGCCGGACAACUCACCGGGGGCGACAGCAAUAUGUAGGCCAAGCUGAAGACUUUGCCUGAAUCGCUGAGAAGAGGUGCAUGG